rnacentral:rRNA from 1 species
GACGAACGCUGGCGGCGUGCUUAACACAUGCAAGUCGAGCGGUAAGGCCCCUUCGGGGAUACACGAGCGGCGAACGGGUGAGUAACACGUGAGCAAUCUGCCCUUCACACGGGGAUAACUUCGGGAAACCGGAGCUAAUACCCGAUACGACCACCUCGGGCAUCCGAUGGUGGUGGAAAGCUCCGGCGGUGAAGGAUGAGCUCGCGGCCUAUCAGCUUGUUGGUGGGGUAACGGCCCACCAAGGCAACGACGGGUAGCCGGCCUGAGAGGGUGACCGGCCACACUGGGACUGAGACACGGCCCAGACUCCUACGGGAGGCAGCAGUGGGGAAUAUUGGACAAUGGGCGAAAGCCUGAUCCAGCAACGCCGCGUGAGGGAUGACGGCCUUCGGGUUGUAAACCUCUUUCAGCAGGGACGAAGCGCAAGUGACGGUACCUGCAGAAGAAGCACCAGCCAACUACGUGCCAGCCGCCGCAGUAAUAC